UGCGAGGUCUAGGAAAGUUUCCCAUCCCAGAAGGAGCAUGGAGGAGGACCUCCGGCUCUGCACCAAUUGUGAAAGAAAAGUGCCCUCUACCUACUUCCUCCUCCACGAGGCUCACUGCCUGAGAUUUCGGGCCAUCUGUCCAGAAUGCAAGGAGGUCAUCCUGAAGAAGGAGAUGAAGGACCAUCUAGAGAAUGGGCACCUGCAGGCCCAGUGCAGUCUGUGUCUAGAGAGCAUGCAGAAGUACCUGCUGGAAGCUCAUGAGGCUGCGUGCCCGGAGCGCCCCAUCGAAUGUGAAUUCUGUGGAUGGGCUGUGCCGCUGAGUGGCCUGGAAGAGCAUGAGUCCGGCUGCAGCGGUCAGUCAGGGCCCUCUCUCAGUGGCCAGUCAGGGCCCUCUCUCAGUGGCAAGCAGCCUGACCCGUCUGCGCCUCUGGCCAGUCUGGAAGGCCCCUGCGCAGACAAGCCCAGGAAAGCUCCCAGCCAGAAAGCCGGCUGCCUAGAGUGCAAGCGAGACGCCUCGGAAGCAGAGCUCCCCCAGCACCAGGCCGAAUGCCGCCAGUUCACGGAGCUGAGGGGAUCCUUUAAUGCCUUCUUGCUGAAGAAGCCGGAGCGGCCUUCUCCAGUCCCGGGGAUUCUAGAUCCAGCUCAGGCGUCUACAGGAGAGAGGGUCGUCCGCCCAAAGAAGAAAGAAAGUCACACGGACAAAACAGCUCUAAGCUCCACGGCUGCCCGGAUCGAGAAGGAAGAGUAUGAUGUUCUGGAAAGCUGCUCCUUUUGCCACAUCCUGCUUCCCCUACCUGUACUGAAGCAGCACGAGGAGAAGUGCCAACUUUUGGCUUCUCAGCAAUGGAAGAUUCUGAAAUAGAGGAUUCCUGAAGGAUCUGGAAAACCCCAGAGCUGGAGGGAGGAGGUGCUCUGAAGAUCCCCAUCUUCUCUUUGUCUACCUGCCUUCCUGGGCCUUGUCCUGUGCCAUUGGACUUUUGUUUUUGAGAGAAAAGCCCUCGCACAUAACUGGUGAUACCCGCCAUCGGAAAAGCCUGCAAGACUUUCAGCCAUCAACUGAUGCAAAGGGAGAGGAGGAGAACCCGGAAAUGUGGAACGUUGCCUGUAACAGCCUGAUGGAGGGCUCUGAACGACUUAGCUGUUGUCAGCACUACACUGGUCAAGGACAAGCCCAAAGACCUAAUGAUGAGCACACUAUCUGUCUCUAGAGAAAAACCUAUUUGAUCCAACACAGAUCACUUUCAUUUUUUUUCUUCUUGUAAAACAUGGAGCACGUCUCACGUGUGGAAUAAAGUGGAACAGAAUUGCA